rnacentral:tRNA from 1 species
GCGCCUGUAGCUCAACUGGACAGAGCAACGGCCUUCUAAGCCGUAGGUUCCAGGUUCGAGUCCUGGCAGGCGCGCCA